rnacentral:misc_RNA from 1 species
UCCGGUUUGUCACCGGCAGUCCCAUUAGAGUGCUCAACUGAAUGUAGCAACUAAUGGCAAGGGUUGCGCUCGUUGCGGGACUUAACCCAACAUCUCACGACACGAGCUGACGACAGCCAUGCAGCACCUGUGCUAGAGCUCCGAAGAGGGGCUCCGCUUUCACGGAGCUUUCUCUAGCAUGUCAAGCCCUGGUAAGGUUCUUCGCGUUGCAUCGAAUUAAGCCAUAUGCUCCACCGCUUGUGCGGUCCCCCGCCAAUUCCUUUGAGUUUCAACCUUGCGGCCGUAGUCCCCAGGCGGCGGACUUAAGGCGUUAGCUGCGGCGCCGAGGGGGUCGAUACCCCCGACACCUAGUCCGCAUCGUUUACGGCGUGGACUAC